CGGAGGCAGAGAGGGAGGAGAGGCAGCCAGUGAGUGGAGUCCAACCCAGCUUCAAAGCCUCGUUGUGGGCUUGAUGCUCAGGAUGACAUCCUCCCUCCAGCCGCCUCCACUCCUCUCAGAGAGCACAGGAGAGAGAGAGGCUACUGACACACCAAGGAGCUUCCGAAUCAUCCUCCGCCAAGCGCAGGGCACACUGUCUCCAUGGCAACCCCUCAAACUGACCUCCCAUAAUCUGUACCAUAAUAACCAGCCGGUGCAAAAACCCAAACAUGACGGCAAAAUAAAACUAGCACAAACACGAGUCUCCCUCUCAUUCUCUCACUGAGGCAGAAGGAUAUGUGGAAACAUAACUAGGAAAGAAUGCACAUUGGGUCGGUUAAGUGCGGUGCUGACAGAAAAAGUUAUCCCAAACUAAAUUCACUGCAGCAUAUCUGGAAUUAUGUGUCCAAAUGACCACACCUCACUGCAGGUAGGAGCAGGUAGGAGCAGAGUAGUAAAGUUGCAAGUGUCACUGCUCUAUUUCCGUGCUUACCUAGUAUUUUGUCUGUGAUAUUCAACUAAAAGUCAUAACCAGAUCAUUUAUAAAUACUGCCCAUCCACCUGUUUUUAACACUAGCCAUGGAAUGCUUCACAUCACUUUUUGAAUGACAACACUGCAGUGUGAUAAACAGUGUUAUAUGCAGAAGUUGAAACCAGACAAUUUAUGAAUAGCCUACUGUCCAUACCCCCAUACCCUCACAUACCCUCACAAGUGCUUGAUUGAUGGAAUAUAACCAUGAUUCUCUUAGCUGUGAAUCAGGAUCGAUGAGCCCAUCCAGGGUCAUGGCUAUUGAUCACCUAUCACCUCUGGUGGUCACUGAUUGAUAUCAGGACAAUCCAAUUAGUCAAUAUUGAUAUGAGAUUCUUCGAUCAAACCAGCAGGGGUCGGGAACAGGCAGCCUCGAGCCACAACUGUCCCAAGUGAUGUUUUUGAACCCCCAAUGUUUUGGGGGAUUUUAGUUUUUGGUCAAAAAGUGUAAUGCGUGCGUACUGGCGGCAGAGAAGUCAGGCGCAGGAUGGCAAAGACUGUGUUACAACGGUGGAGUUUCAUAAUAAAAUCACUGUGAACAAAAACAAUAAAUAAAUAGAAUGGGACGAAACCCUUCGCACGCCAGACAUAACAUAACUCUUACAAUCAACAAUACCGGACAAGGACAUGUGGGGAACAGAGGGUUAAAUACACAACAUGGGACGAAACCCUUCACACGCCAGACAUAACAUAACUCUUACAAUCAACAAUACCGGACAAGGACAUGUGGGGAACAGAGGGUUAAAUACACAACAUGGGACGAAACCCUUCACACGCCAGACAUAACAUAACUCUUACAAUCAACAAUACCGGACAAGGACAUGUGGGGAACAGAGGGUUAAAUACACAACAUGGGACGAAACCCUUCACACGCCAGACAUAACAUAACUCUUACAAUCAACAAUACCGGACAAGGACAUGUGGGGAACAGAGGGUUAAAUACACAACAUGNNNNNNNNNNGCAGGUAGGAGCAGGUAGGAGCAGAGUAGUAAAGUUGCAAGUGUCACUGCUCUAUUUCCGUGCUUACCUAGUAUUUUGUCUGUGAUAUUCAACUAAAAGUCAUAACCAGAUCAUUUAUAAAUACUGCCCAUCCACCUGUUUUUAACACUAGCCAUGGAAUGCUUCACAUCACUUUUUGAAUGACAACACUGCAGUGUGAUAAACAGUGUUAUAUGCAGAAGUUGAAACCAGACAAUUUAUGAAUAGCCUACUGUCCAUACCCCCAUACCCUCACAUACCCUCACAAGUGCUNNNNNNNNNNAUAUAACCAUGAUUCUCUUAGCUGUGAAUCAGGAUCGAUGAGCCCAUCCAGGGUCAUGGCUAUUGAUCACCUAUCACCUCUGGUGGUCACUGAUUGAUAUCAGGACAAUCCAAUUAGUCAAUAUUGAUAUGAGAUUCUUCGAUCAAACCAGCAGGGGUCGGGAACAGGCAGCCUCGAGCCACAACUGUCCCAAGUGAUGUUUUUGAACCCCC
rnacentral:lncRNA from 13 species